rnacentral:rRNA from 1 species
UACAGAGGUCUCAAGCGUUGUUCGGAUUCAUUGGGCGUAAAGGGCUCGUAGGCGGUUUGUCGCGUCGGGAGUGAAAACCUCGGGCUUAACUCGGGGCUUGCUUUCGAUACGGGCAGACUAGAGGUAUGCAGGGGAGAACGGAAUUCCUGGUGUAGCGGUGAAAUGCGCAGAUAUCAGGAGGAACACCGGUGGCGAAGGCGGUUCUCUGGGACAGUACUGACGCUGAGACGCGAAAGCGUGGGGAGCAAACAGG